UAUCUGUGUCUGAUGCAGCGGUUCGUCGAAGGACUGAGACUGCAAUAGCAAACAACGAUGUAAUUCCUAUCUCCAUUUCUUUUCCCUGCAAUUAUUGAAGAUACCAGCCACUUUAUCAUCACACGCCAAAAUUGCUGUAACAUCAUCGAUGAGGAUUACGAAUGAAAGAGAAAUCAUGAGCGAAUGGAAUGAAUCAGCAGAUGUCACAAGGGACGAAAUACCGCCAUGAAACUGAUGAUCGUGCCAUGCUGGCAGGGACUGUACCCGAAGUUUGCGGGCCCGCCGAAGUGAGCUCGUGGUAAGUCACUGUACGCCUGGACUGGACGUCGUCGAACGUUGCUGUUUCGAGAGCAGAAGUAUUCGAAGGAGCAACGUCCAACGGCAAGCGGGCAACCAACCGGCCGGCGCGCCAAGGGACAAAGAGCGGCCGCCGGCCCAAAAGAAUAAAUAAAUAAAGUAGAGAAAAAGAGAGGAAGAGAGAGAAAGAAAGAGAGAGAGGGCAGAGCAUCAAACGAAGGAGAAGAGAAGGGAACAGGUUGAAAGAAGAAGGAGAAUGUGCCGCAAUGAAGGCGAUGGAGGGAAUAAGAUGGUACCCGGCCCAAGUGGCCGCCAUCAGUGCCAAGGACAUCGACCGAAAUCCAAGGGUACCGUCAAGGCCAAGGAAUGCCCGACCUGCGCCAUCGCAAAUUCGCUUGCGACUCCGCUCUUUCUCUGUUGCGGUCUUAUUCAGGGCGUGAGUAAAAUAAAAACUGUCUGUGCGCGUCCAAAAAGUGCCAGCAGCAAACCGACCGAAACUCAAGGGCGUCUGCGAAAUUCACUGUGCGUUGGAACAUGACUGACGUAUCGAUACGUAUAGCGGAAAAUAUCGAUAACUAGCACAAAUUUUAAUGAAGAGAUAUUCAAGUAUUUUUUAAUUUUUCGAAAUUUUUAAUUUGAA